rnacentral:rRNA from 1 species
UUGAUCCUGGCUCAGAACGUACGCUGGCGGCACGCCUAACACAUGCAAGUCGAACGAAGUAGCAAUACUUAGUGGCAGACGGGUGAGUAACAUGUAGGUAUCUGCCCUUUGGCCUGGAAUAACACGAGGAAACUUGUGCUAAUACCGGAUAAGUCUUUACGGAGAAAGCUUUAUGCACCAUUGGAUGAGCCUGCACUUGAUUAGUUUGUUGGUGGGGUAAUGGCCUACCAAGACUGUGAUCAAUAGCUGAUUUGAGAGGAUGAUCAGCCACAUUGGGACUGAGACACGGCCCAAACUCCUACGGGAGGCAGCAGUGGGGAAUCUUGCACAAUGGAGGAAACUCUGAUGCAGCGAUGCCGCGUGAGUGAAGAAGGCCCUUGGGUUGUAAAGCUCUUUCGUCGGGGAAGAAAAUGACUGUACCCGAAUAAGAAGGUCCGGCUAACUUCGUGCCAGCAGCCGCGGUAAUACGAAGGGACCUAGCGUAGUUCGGAAUUACUGGGCUUAAAGAGUUCGUAGGUGGUUGAAAAAGUUAGUGGUGAAAUCCCAGAGCUUAACUCUGGAACUGCCAUUAAAACUUUUCAGCUAGAGUAUGAUAGAGGAAAGCAGAAUUUCUAGUGUAGAGGUGAAAUUCGUAGAUAUUAGAAAGAAUACCAAUUGCGAAGGCAGCUUUCUGGAUCAUUACUGACACUGAGGAACGAAAGCAUGGGUAGCGAAGAGGAUUAGAUACCCUCGUAGU